rnacentral:ncRNA from 2 species
UUGAUGGAUUCGGGAGAGACUGUCCGGGGCUGGGAAUGAAUUUCCUAUUGUUUUGGGACAGCGCCGAAGGGGAAGCGGAGAACUCUCAGGCAAAAGGACCGGAUACCGGAC